GCUGAACAAAGGGGGAGGAACCCGGCCUUAGAGCUCCCUCUGCCCGCCCACACGGCUCCUCUAGCUUCCUCUCUGAUUGGUGGAGCGCAAUUUCUACCGGCAGAAAGGAGGGGCUAAUAACUGGUUCCUUGUACAGGGCCUACUGCAUUGCUAUUUUUAGUCAUGUCCGAUUCAUAGACCUCUUUGGGGGUUUUCUUGUCUGAGGUCGGAUUUGAACCUGUCUUCCUGACUCCAGGACACUUUAUCCACUGCGCCACCUAGCUGCCCCCGGUACAUGGCUACACUCUGGACUUCCUCUACCAUAACCCAGAUCUUCAUCCUGAAGCCUCAGGCCAGCCCUGGAAUUAAAACUUUGGAAAAACCCUCCAUCUCUGUGACCUGCUCCUCAGAUUGGAUAGCUUCUCCCAGAACCUCCAUUUAAAGAGAGCACCCAGGCUACUUUCACAGUUGCAUUCCAGACUUUUCCUACCAUGCCUCUUCAAAAGAGGGAAACACCUAGGAAUCAUAACUGUAAAAGUGAACAGAAUGAAUUCACCCAUAAAACAAAAGAGGAAAGCAGAAAGUAUUAAAAGCCAGAAUCCUACAAUAUUAUGUCCACAAGAACCAUAUUUAAAGCAGGGAGACACACACCACAAGAAGUAAAGGUAAAGUGCUAGAAUAAAAUACUAUAGUAUAGUAUUGGUCAAAGUUAAAAAAGCAAGGGUAGCAAUUAUGAUCUGACUAGUUGUAAUGGAAUAUUAUUAUGCCAUAAGAAAUUACAAACAAGAUGAUCACAAAAAGGUAAAGUGAUCAGCACAAUAAUCAACCAUGAUUUCAGAAUACUAAGAAUGAAGUAUAUUACCCACAUCCUAGCAGAGAGGUAAUGGCCAUAAUAUGCAGAAAGAGAAAUACAUUUUUAUAUAGAACCAAUGUGGGAAUUUGUUUUGCUUCUCCAUGUAUAUUUAUUACAAAGUAUUGUUGUUGUUGUUGUUUUCAGUAAGAGAGAGAAGUGGAAGGACAAGAAUAAUAAUGAUAGCUAGCAUUUAUAUAAUGCCUACUAUGUGCCAGUCACUAUUCUAAUUCCAUACAAAUAUUAUCUUAUUUGAGCAAAAAAUUGCUUGAGAAUUGAGAAAUAAUUAAGAAAAUAAUUGCCUCAUAAUUAAAAAAUAAAAUUUAAUUUAAAAAAAUAGCACCUUUCCUUAUUCCAUCACUGACUAGUGAAUAUACUAUCAUUAACUCUGACCUGAAAAACAAUCCCUUCAUGAAUUUGAAUUAAUUUCUUAGGGUCAUGUUUGAAGAAGGUUGACAAUCAAUUCUUUAGCUCUGUUGGAGAAAAGAGGACCCAGGAGAAAUGCCAAGUUUAGGAAUAGAGUUGAUGGCACAGACUGAAGCUAAGCCUUGUACUUUAUCUCUCAGGAACUAGGGCAAGGACAGAGGGUCCAGUGGCAGGAAAACCAGUUAUCUUUGUCAUUCUUUUCUCUUUGUGGAGAAAUUGUACUCUUCACUCUCUCUAGCUAUUCUUCCAACUACAGCCUCAUCAGCAGUCCCUUCCCAAAUAUUAUCAUUGACAUCAGAACCUUUUCUAAGUUUAGAUUUCAUUCAGAGAUUGUUCUCAAACCAAUACCUGAAAUUCUGGGGAGAAGCCAGCCUUGACCAGAUAUAGGGAGCAAAGUGGGGAAUAACUAAUUAUGGGUGAGGAAGUCAAUGCAGACAGAACAGGAAAAGAAAUGGAAUUAAAAUAUCUUCUCAGAUAAUGCCAUGGAGCUUCAAAGUAACUCUGGGAGUAAAGGGAACAGAAGUUAAGAGAAUACAUGCUUCCUAUAUUGAACCUACUAAAAGGAACAAAAACAAACAAAAAUCCUAAUUUGGGGAGGGGGGGGAGACAAUACUAAAGACCUGUCUAUUAUUUACUAGGAACACUUCUAGAAACCUUUCAAAGAUACACACAGAACAAAAAUGAAAUGCUACAACAAAAUUUGUCCUGUAUCAAGUAUAUCUAAAAGAGCAGAAGUUGCCAUUAUGCUAUCAGAAAAAAGCAAAGACAAAAACUCAUACAUAGAUUGACAAAGAAAUUAAAUAGAUCUAAAAGGGAUCACAAGCAACAAGCCAAUGUAAUAUUAAAUUUUUAUGCUCCAAAUGGCAGAACAUCUAAAUUCAUAAUGGAAAAAUUAACUAAAUUACUAAAAACAUAUAGUGACACAAUAAUAGUAGGGAACUUUAUUAUUCUUUUCUCAGAGUUGAACAUAUCUAAUAGAAACAGAAACAAAAGGGAAAAUAUUGGUAGAACAAAUUUCUAAUGUAAAAUUGAAAAUUGAUUUUAAUUCCAUUUUUAAGACUUAGCCAUGCUGGCAUUUCUUUCAAAACUGGGUUAGUUUAAAUUCCUUACCCUUGUCACUUUACCCUUCAUCUACAUUCGAAAGAAACUUGCCUAAAGGUCAAGCUUUUGUCUUGUAAUUACCUCUACCCUUAACUCAAAAUAUGUUCUCAUUUGAGCCUCAAUUCUGUUGUCUUAGUUUGCAUCUCCACCUAAGUAUUAUCACCUCAAGUUGACUCAUUUAAGACCAUUGCAGACUACACCCACAUCUGAAGACUAAACCUAUAACCUGAGGUUUACUCCUCUUUUCCAACUAGGAUGUAAUGAGGACUGAGGCGACUCAACUCACUUAUUAAAGUGUCUACAAGCAAUCUUACCUUUAUUUUAUGUCAGGCCAAUUAUAAGGAAGACACACUUAGAUUUAGAAGACCUUGUCAGCACUCAUGCAGGGUCUUUGGUCAUUAAGAGAGGCCACUGACUCAAUUGGUACUGGUAGUCUAUCAUUUUACCUUGAUUUUCAGACAUACCAUUAGAGACUAACAACCUUGUUUAUAAAACCCCUUUCCUUCAAGAAACUUUCAGACUAAACAAUAGGCCAUCAAGCAUCCAUUGAGCACCCUUCCCAAAGUCUCAGAGCUUAGCUCUGAGUGGUUUUGCUUGUGUGUAUGCCUACGCGGUUGCCAUAAGAGCAUUGUCUUUUUUGUCCAAAUUAAAGACCUGAUCUUUUGUAACUGCUUUGGUGGUUCUGUGUUUUUCUAGGUUGACAUAUUUGGAAGUUCCACUGAGAUUACAAGUUGUUACUGACUGAACCACCUGCUAAAGUGAUCCUAGAUGUGUGAUAUCCAUAAGAAUCUAUUGAGUUCCAGUUUGGACUCAAUUUGGCAAGUUGAGUGAAACUCUCAACAACAAAUUCAUGUAUUUGAGAAACUGAACUACUCUUUAACCAGGAGUUUGUUGAACAAUGGGCAAUUAUAGAGAUAUGCCUGCCCCAGCAAGUACUGAGGAAGAGAUUGCUGUUGGAUGUAUAUUCUCAAUUGUAGAUCAGACAACCUGUAAGUGUUGAGAUAAUUAACUGGCAAAAGUUACCUAAUUUGACCCUAAGCACUUUUUGCCAAAUUUGUAUCUGUUAAGCCUGGAGGUAUUCUAGGUUAUUAAACCCUAAUAUGUUUAAUCUAAGAAUGGGUAACUGCUUUGGACAAAUUAAAUGGAGGAAAGUUCCUCAUGGUAUAAAAUGCUAUAACUUAAGGGUUUUUUUGUGGUAUAAUGGUUAUAAUUUUUUUUUAAAGCUUCUUAUGGAAGCUUAAAACUGAAGUUUUGAGCUAUAUUUAGUCUAUAUUGUAUUUCUUAGAUGAACAUUUCUCUAUCAUGACCUUAAAUGCUUGCAGUUUAAAUGUCAGCUACUAAUGUUUGAAAUGGUACUCACUGUUGAUUCCCCAAAAGCCUGAGAAUAUAGAACUUGUCAACCUGGAGAAAACACAGAACCACUAAAGUAGUCAGUAAAACCCAGUCUUUAAACAGGAAAGAGAUAGUGCUCAAUAUUUGACUGCCACAGAGUCAAAUGUCUAAAAACCACAAAGAGUCCAGGGCCCUGGAAACAGUAUCUCUGAGAAGGUCACCUCAGAGAGGAUUCUCCAAAGAAUAAUAGAACACAAGGUUUUUAUAUACCCUUUGGAGGAAUUAAGUACAUUAAACAUACACUGAUAGGUUGUUAGCAGGCUUGGGAAAAAGGCAGCAGCCAGAGACUGGGGUGUCAUGGAGUGAUCUACUACAAUGGAUACUAAAAGGAUGGUUCCUGCAUAGUUGUUGGUCUUUUGGGAACAAAUCUCUGAUACAACAGGGAAAACUAAGACUAAAAGGAUACUUAACAUUUGAUUAUAUCUACUAGUCCCACCUAAGCUAGGAUUAUUAAGUACUUUAAGGUCUAUUGUUCAGUCUGAAAUGGGUCAGUCUGGGAUUUCUCUCUGAGUGUGUUCUCGGGGGACAAGGGCAAACUUGGGGUUCCCAAAAACCCAGUUGACAAACUUGUGAUCCAGGUAUCAUUCAUGACAUUAUAUUUUAUUGUUUUCCUUUAAGAAAAUGAAAGGAACACUAAUUAUAAUAAUUGGUUGAAUUUGUAUAAGCCUCCAUUUUUCCAGAGGUUUCUGAUACAUAAGAGGUAAUCCUUUGAACUAAGAACAAUCCUAGGAAGCUUUUUUUAAUAAGAGGAUCAUUAUCUCACCAGGAAGGGUUCCAGAGAUUUCCUAAGAUAACUGUCAUCAUCCUAACUUCUUGAGUUGCAAAAAGUCUGUAAAAAUAGACUCGAAUCCAGGACUUCAAUCCCCAGAAACCCUUGUUCCACUUCCCCAGAAUGCCCUCUAAUAUCACUGAAUUCUCACCUGGGCCGAGAGCGAGAUGGGGUAUUUAAACUUGGUUGUGAAUAAGCUUGGCCCUCUUUUUACUUUCCGCUUCAGAGCACACGCGGCUCUCCACCUAGCAGGCAAGAUGUGAGUGGUGGUGUCUAGGCCUCUCUCUGGCCUAGACACGUGCUUUUCUUACUUGUAUAUUCUUAGGUUCUCAAUCUUACCUCUAAAAAUAAUACUCCUUGCAGAGAGAAACUAAUUUAUAUCUUGCCUAAGUCUCCCCUAAAUUUUAAUCUUUACAAGUCUCUCCAAGGAACAGACAAGAAAUAUUUGGGAAAAUGCUUGGUGAUGAUUUGAGAAAAAGCUGGAAAUAUCUGUAGGAACUGAUGCAGAGUUAAAUAAGCAGAACUGGGAGAACAUCAUACACAGUAACAGCAAUAUUAUAUGAGGAUCAACUGUGAAAACUUGGCCACUCUCAGCAAUGCAAUGAUCUGGGAUAAUCCUGAAAGACAUAUGAUGGAGAAUGCUAUCCACCUCCAGAGAAAGAACUGUUGGAGUCAGACAGAUGUGAAUCAAAGCAUAAUAUCUUUUACAUCAGUGUAUUGUAACAUUUAAAAGUGUGGUAGCCAUAAACUGUUAGAAUUAAAAGAGUGUUUUUCUUAAAUUGUGACUGCAGAAAUAUGGUUUCAAGAUAUUGUCUUGAGUUAAAUCAAAUAUAAAGUGGUCGCCAGGGAAAAAUUCCCAAAUAUGAAAUAUACCCAAGUCAGCUGGGUUUUUAUGGAAAUUUUAAUUAAUACAAAUUUAGGAAUUAAUGAAAGAGAGAGAGUAAGAGGAAACAAUGAGAAAAGGGCUGGGCCAGCCCAGGCCAGCCUAGGCCCAAGCCCUAAGAGAGAGAUAUGUCAGUCUUUUAUCAACUUGCCACAACUCACAACUCGCCACAAGAUUUGUCCAAGCAAGACUCUAGUGUUCAGAAACUCACCAGUUCAGCUUUGGCCAGCUCCAUCUCCAGAAAGAGUUCUCUGAGAGAGAGUCCCUUGCUCUCAGCUUCUCAUCUCCUUUUAAAGAGAAUUUUCUCCUUUGUCACCUCCCUUAAGUUCUCACAUCUACCAAUCACAGUAGAUGUUUUCCAAAAGACAGACCAUUCUUAAUUCACACCUGAGUAGACUAAACUUUUUAGUAAUUCACACCUGAAAAAACCUCUGAGUAAGUUCUCACCUCUUUGCCACUUGCAAAUUUACAAGUUGCCUGACCUUCAUGGGUACUUAGCACCUUCCUAAAAAUAGACUUAGCUUAAGUAUGAGUUAAGUACUUUUUCAUUGUUCAAUAAAGAGUUUACAACUUUAUCUUCCCCUAAAGUAUGCUUAAGUAUGGGUGGAGUAGACUUCUCACAUUCCUAAGUCCUUUCAUUGUUUAAAGUGGGGAAUAGUCUUAACCAAGUGUUCUGAAGUAGGGUCUGAGAAUUUUUAAGAUUCACAGUAUUUAUAAUAAAAUUCGGGGUUUUGGUCUUAUAACAAUGACCAAUAUGGUAGUGUAUUUUGCAUGACAGUAAAAAGAAAAAAGAAAAAGAAAAUAUUUGGUGACUAAUGGUAAACAAACAAACAAAAAAACCCUGAGAGUUUUAAUUGAAUAGCCCAAGUUCCUCUUUGAGAAGCCUAAGACCAAUUGAGAGAUGUUUGGGGCAUAGCUGAUGUAAAUAUGAUCUUUUCUUGGAGAUAUGGAUGAGAGUGCAGUUUAAAAAAAAAAAGAACUAAAUCAGAAUCCCUGGGGCUCUAUUAUUUCAGUCAUUUCCUAGGGGAGUCAAAACUCCCAGAUAAGGUUACCUUCUACACCCUGAACCUGAAGAAGUCCAUUUAAGACCCCUGCUCAAGGAUACCCUACAGCCAAAUGGAAAGGAUUUCACCAAGUCUCCAGAGACUCCUAAUAGGGCUAAAUAUCCUCUCUCUUUUUUUUUUCUCCUUUCCAUUGUUCAUUAGAUUUCUUUCAAUCCAUGUCCCUGGUUCAGAUAAAGAAUAUGACUUUGUUAUUUCCCCCUGGGAUUUCUAGUGGUACUUACACUGAGUGAGAUCCCUUUUAAGAUGGGUAAUUAUUAUAAAAAUCAAAAAGAAAAAAGCUAAAAGUUUUCACAGCUAACUAAAGCAGGAAAGGUUCAACUCAGUUAUUUUUAUUGUUAUUGUUUAAUUGUUUAUUUUGUUUAGGUUUACUAUAAGUUAAUGUUGCAAGAGAGCUUUAAGGUUCUGGACAGGUUGCCCUUGUCAAGAAUGACAGAUUCCAAUAGCUAGCUUAAAAAAUAAAAGAGAUUUAUUACUUUGAAUGUAAGUCAAAUGGUUAAAUCAAAUGGGAUGGCUGAGGGAGGCAGAGUGGGGUGGAAUGUUGGCUCCUAGGGCCUUAUAUACCCUUUUGACAGGGCCUACAUAACUAGAGAUGGAUGAUGAUGGCAUGUUACUUGAUCUCUGGAAUCCAAGAUGGGCCAUGCGGUUAUGUCCUAUGCCUCAAAAUCAAAAGGGGGUGAACUGUUCUGUUUAGAGAAUAAUCAAAUAUCUGGGAUAUAAAAUAGAUGCUUAUCAGGAGCAGGUUGGGUGGUGCCUAUCUGUGCUCAUCAAGAAUGAGGAGAGAGGCCAGAGAGGAUCUUUUAUUUAGGUCAGUCACCUUCCCUAGCACUGCAGAAAUAUAAGAAAAAAAUGAGUCUAUUAUUUUAAAAUUACUUUAUUUUUAUUUUUAAAUUUAAAUUUUUAAACAUUUUUUAAAUAUUUAAUUUUUUAUUUUAAAAUUGAGUUGAAACUUCUCACUUCUCCUUGUGGAGAAUGAGUUACCAAUUCAACAUCCUUAUUUCCCCCUUCUGGAGAAUGAGAUUAUCAGUAUCUAAAAGCAACAUGACUUAAAAGGCUUAUAGUACUUUCUAAGUGGGGCCACUAAAGAAUAUACAUAUUUUAUUUUAAUUUAAUUUAAUUUUAUUUGGUCAUUUUCAAACAUUAUUCGUUGGAAACAAAGAUCAUUUUCUUCCCCCCCCCCCCCUCCCACCACCCCUCCAAUAGCCAAUGUGCGAUUCCACUGGGUAUCACAUGUGUCCUUGAUUCGAACCCAUUUCCAUGUUGUUGGUAUUUGCAUUAGGGUGUUCAUUUAGAGUCUCUCUUCAUAUCCCCUCAACCCCUGUAGUCAAGCAGUUGCUUUUCCUCGGUGUUUUUACUCCCAUAGUUUGUCCUCUGCUUGUGGAUAGUGUUUUUUUCUCCUAGAUCCCUGCAGAUUGUUCAGGGACAUUGCAUUGACACUAAUGGAGAAGUCCAUUACGUUCGAUUGUACCACAGUGUAUUAGUCUCUGUGUACAAUGUUCUCCUGGUUCUGCUCCUUUCACUCUGCAUCACUUCCUGGAGGUUGUUCCAGUCUCCAUGGAAUUCCUCUACUUUAUUAUUCCUUUUAGCACAAUAGUAUUCCAUCACCAACAUAUACCACAAUUUGUUCAGCCAUUCCCCAAUUGAAGGGCAUCCCCUCAUUUUCCAAUUUUUGGCCACCACAAAGAGCGCAGCUAUGAAUAUUCUGGUACAAGUCUUUUUCCUUAUUAUCUCUUUGGGGUACAAAGCCAAGUGCUAUGACUGGAUCAAAGGGCAGACAGUCUUUUAUCGCCCUUUGGGCAUAGUUCCAAAUUGCCCUCCAGAAUGGUUGGAUCAAUUCACAAUUCCACCAGCAAUGAAUUAAUGUCCCUACUUUGCCACAUCCCCUCCAGCAUUCAUUACUUUCCAUAGCUGUCAUGUUAGCCAAUCUGCUAGGUGUGAGGGGAUACCUCAGAGUUGUUUUGAUUUGCAUCUCUCUGAUUAUAAGAGAUUUAGAACACUUUUUCAUGUGGUUAUCAAUAGUUUUGAUUUCUUUAUCUGAAAACUGCCUAUUCAUGUCCCUUGCCCAUUUAUCAAUUGAGAAUGGCUUGAUUUUUUAUACAAUUGAUUUAGCUCUUUGUAAAUUUGAGUAAUUAAACCUUUGUCAGAGGUUUUUAUGAAGAUUGUUUCCCAAUUUGUUGCUUCCCUUCUGAUUUUAGUUACAUUGGUUUCGUUUGUACAAAACCUUUUUAAUUUGAUGUAGUCAAAAUUAUUUAUUUUACAUUUUGAGACUCUUUCUAAGUCUUGCUUGGUUUUAAAAUCUUUCCCUUCCUAAAGGUCUGACAUGUAUACUAUUCUGUGUUCACCUAAUUUACUUAUAGUUUCCUUCUUUAUGUUCAAGUCAUUCACCCAUUCUGAAUUUAUCUUGGUGUAAGGUGUGAGGUGUUGAUCCAAACCUAAUCUCUCCCACACUAUCUUCCAAUUUUUCCAGCAGUUUUUAUCAAAUAAUGGAUUUUUGUCCCAAAAGCUGGGGUCUUUGGGUUUGUCAUAAACUGUCUUGCUGAGAUCAUUUACGCCAAGUCUAUUCCACUGAUCCUCCUUUCUGUCUCUUAGCCAGUACCAAAUUGUUUUGAUAACAACUGCUUUACAGGAUAGUUUGAGAUCUAGGACUGAAAGUUCGCCUUCCUUUGCAUAUUUUUUCAUGAUUUCCCUGGAUAUCCUUGAUCUUUUGUUCUUCCAAAUGAACUUAGUUAUGGUUUUUUCUAAUUCAGUAAAGAAGUUUUUUGGUAGUUCAAUGGGUAUGGCACUAAAUAAGUAAAUUAAUUUGGGUAGGAUUAUCAUUUUUUAUUAUGUUAGCUCUUCCCACCCAUGAGCAAUCAAUGUUUUUUCAAUUGUUUAGAUCUAGUUUUAACUGUGUGGAGAGUGUUUUGUAGUUGUGUUCAUAUAGAACAGCGGUUCUCAACCUCUCAAUUUGUAGCAAUGAGAAUACAUAAUGCAUAUCAGGUAUUUACAUUCUGAAUCAUAACUGUAGCAAAAUUACAGUUUUGAAGUAGCCACCAAAAUAAUUUUUUGGUUUGGGGUCACUGCAACAUGAGAAACUGUAUUGCGGGGUCACAGUAUUAGAAAGGUUGAGAACCACUGAUAUAGAAUAUACAUAUUUUACAGAACUCUAAUGCACUUUACCAAAAACUAACCAUGUAUUGGGCACAAAGAAAGUGCAAGUAAAGAUAAAAUGGCAGAAAUACUAAAUAUAUGGUUUAUAGACCACAAUUCAAUUAAAAUAGUAAUCAAAUCAAAGAGCUUGAACAAAAAAACAGACUUAAAUGUUGACAAUAAUGAAAUCCUAAAUAACGAGUGGAUCAAAAAACAAAUCAUAACAACAGAUGUUAAUAAUAAUGAAACAAUAUCAAAAUUUCUAGAAUGCAGCUAACACAAUCCUCAAAGGAAAAAUGAUUCCCUAAAAUCACGCAUUAGCCAAAUAGAAAAUUAGGGAAAUAAUGAACUGAAUAUGCAUUUUUAAAUGUUAGAAACCCAACAAAUAAUCUCAAAUUUAGCAGAAAAUUGAAAAUUAGAGAAAUAAUAAAAGUCAAACCCACUGAGACAAUAUAUGUAUACAGAUACAUAUUUAUCACAUCCACAUAUAGGUUACCAUUUCAUAUCCAUAUAGAUAGUUAUAGACAUAUGACACACUUAAUAAAAUAUAAGCUUGCUAUUCAGGAACUCUUUUUUGUGGGGGAGGGAGGAGGUUCUGAAUACCUCCACAAAUCCUUCUGCAUUGUAGGUGCUUAAUUCAGUUUUACUGAACUGAACUGAGUGAACUAAUGAGAUGUCAAUCACUCACAGCCUGUCUCUUAGUUGUCUAUCUACAGUUAAAACAUAUGGAGAAUGGAACUAUGUCCAAGACUUUUCAACAUAUAAAACUUCUUUAUUCAAUCAGAUGAAAAUUGAAUAGAUCUCCACAAUAGGGCUCACUCCUGUGUAAUUAGCCCUCCUUUCUUUAGGGGCAUAGUAGAAUUCAAAUGCUACAAAAGUAAGGGGGCAUGCAGGUGGUUGAGGGUUAACAGUCACCAUCAUUUUUCAGCCAAUAUGCUUUUCAAAGGAAAUAUGUAGUCAUAUAGUCAUUAGUCAGGUUGCAUGUAUUAAAAGCAGCAAAAGACACUACAGAAAAUCAGAACCUUUAUCUAGGGAAAUGGAAUCUAGAUUUGCUAAUGACCUUUUAGUUCCUUUAGCACCAAGGUGGGGAGAAUAACUGCUUAAAAUACGGCUUUCCUUUAUGAGGUUAGCUGCACUGCAUAGUGAUUGGAGUCUCUGUCAAUCACCUUCAGCCCUACUCUCAACCCAACAGAAUUUGUCUUAGAAGUUGAUCUAAGUAUCUCUUUUGUGAAGCUUACCCAGAUAAACUGGGAAAUAGCUAAAUUCCCUAUUUAAAAAACAGAUGCUGAGAAAACAUCAAUUAAUCAAUCCAUCUACAAAUAUUUAAGUACCAGGAACUGUGUUGGGAGCUAGCCAAAGACAAGAGUAAAAAAACUUCUUGUCCUUGAAGAGCUUAUAAUCUAUUAAGGAAAUAACAUAUACAUUUAUCACUAUACCCCAAAUAGUUACCACAUAAUUUGUGUGUGUGUUGAGGAAGGAGGAAGUUGGGAAGGAUCAGGAAAGGCUUCGAGUAGAAAAUAAAAAGGGGCUUGAUUUAUAGGAAGCCAAGGAUUCUAAGAAUUUUCAGGUUUAAUUAAAAACAAGAUUUCUAAACAGUUUGUUGGCUUCUUUCUUUGCUUAACUCUUACAACUGGGAAAGAUUUUAUUUAAUUUAAUAAAAAUCUAUGUGCAAAGCAUUCAUGCAUUAGUUGCUGGGAGGUUCAAAUUAAAAAAAUUAACGGGCUCUGCCCUGAAGAAGCUUAUACUUUAUUGGAGGGUAACAUCAUGUCCUUAAGUAAAUAAAAGCAAAGUACAUACCAGAUAAUUUCAAGAGGAGGACACUUUCUGACUGAAAGAUGAUGAUGGACUCCAGAUGAAAAAUGAGAUAUUUUUGGAUGCAACCUAUAUGGGAAUUUGUUUUGUUUGAUUUGUCAUAUAGUACUAGUUACAAGGUUGGUUUUUUCCCUUUCUCACAUGGGACAGGAGACAAGGCAGAGAGAAUAUAAAUGCUUCUGAAUUAAAAAGAAUAAUACAUUUAAAAGAAGUUUCAAGAGAGUUCAUUAGGGAAAUCAGUAAAAACGUCUAAGAGGAAAUUUACCUGAAUUGUGUUUUGAAGGAAGCUAGGAAUUCUAGAGGUCAGAGAUGGUGAGGGGGAGGGGAGUCUGGACCCAUGAUGGUGAACCUAUGGCACGUAUGCCAAAGAUAGCAUGCAGACACCUCUCUGUGGGCACCUGUGCCUGGUCCUGGCUCUGCCCCUGCCCCUUCCCCCUGUGACCACAAAAAUGUGGGUUCAAGACUGUGAAUUGCCAAAACUGUAAAAAUAAUUUUAGUGGCUUGAUUUUAUAUCAAAAAUAAGUGGUUGCCAUGGGAAAAAUUCCCAAAUAUGAAAUACCCAAGUCAACUGGGUUUUAUGGAGAUUUUAAUUAAUACUAAUGAAGGAAUUAAGGGAAGGGAGAGAGACAGAGUACAAGGAAAUAGUAGGGAAAGGCCUAGGGCCUAGGCCUUUUCUUUAAGAGAGAAAACUAAGUCAGUCUUUUAUCCACUCACCACAAGAUUUUGUCCCAAGAAAAACUCCAACUAAGUUCAGAGGCCCAGUUACUCCAACUAGUCUGAGAUCCAAAUUCCUCUAAGUUGAGAGAGCCAGCUCCUUUUAAAGAGAAAUUUCUCUUAUGUCACCUCCCCUAAAUUUUCACAUCUACCAAUCACAGUAGACGUUUUCCACAGGACUGACCAUUCUUAAUUCACAUCUUCUUUUGUUAAUCACCUUCCCUGAGUAGACUAAAACUUCACACCUCUUGCUAAGCUUGCCCUUUGUAAGUUGCUUGACCUUUUAGUGAUUAAUUUAACCUUUAUAGGUACUUAGCACCCUUUUGUAUUAGAUCUAAAAAUAGACCUAGCUUAAGGUUUUGGCCUCACUAUAAAUAUGAGUUAGGGACUUUUUCAUUGUUCAGUAAGGAGUUUUACAACUUUAUCUUCCCCUAAAGUAUGCCUAAGUAUGGGUGGAGUAAUGUUAAAAUUCCCAAUACAUUCCUGAUCAAGUACCUCCAUUGUUUAAAUGGGGAAUAGCCUUAACCAAAUGUUCCAAGGUAGAGUCUGUGCAGUUUUAAGAUUCAUACCCCUGAAUGUAGGGGUAGGAGUACUGUAUCUCUGAGCAACCUCCCCACCAAGGCUUCUCCCAACUUCCCCACCAGACUUGGGCUGUUGCUCCCUUGCUCUUCCUGCUCCCUGGGGCGCCUGGAUGCAGGGGCUUAGGUCCCCAUGGCCACAGGUAGCAGCUUUCCCCUCUUUCCCCCACAUAAGCCAGCUGGGACCCUAUGCCCCAAUAUAGCAGGGCAAGCAUGACAUGAAAUCUGGGAGUGUGGGACACGGGCAUGGGGUCCCUAAAAGGUUCCAAAAGGUUCAUCAUCACUGGUCUAGACCCACUUUCACAAGAGACAAGAGUUGGAAUGUUGUCUAGGGAACUAGUUUCAUUGGAGAAAGAAAUUUCAGGAAGAACAGUAGCAGGAGACAAAAGGGCAAAGGAACAAAUGUUGGAGAGCAUGUGGCAAAAUUGGGACACUAAUACACUGCUAAUAGAAUUGUGAAUUAAUACAACCAUUCUGGAGGGCAAUUUGGAACUAUGCCCAAAGGGCUUUAAAAGACUGCCUUCCCUUUGAUCCAGCAAUACCACUGCUGGGUUUGUACCCCAAAGAGAUAAUAAGGGAAAAGACUUGUACAAAACUAUUUAUAGCCAGACUUUUUUUUUUAUUGGAAAGAACUACACAAGAUCAUGAACAAUGAAAUGAGUAGAGAACCACGAGGACAUUAUAUACAGCCUCAGAAUCAAUCCUGGAAGAAUAAACUGAAUGUUACCUCCAGAAAGUGAAAAGAAAGGUGACUUCUGAAAUAGUAAAUUAAUAAAUAUUUUAUAAAACAUUUUUUAAAGUAAAUUUUUAAAAAGGUAAUAGGAGUUAGGCCUAAAUAGGCAUGUGGGAGCUAGGAUAUAGAGGAUUUUAAAUACUAGGCUGAACAUUUUGAAUCCUAGAGGGAAUAUGAAGUCACUGAAAAUUCUUGGUUUUGUUUUUCUGUUGAAGAUUUUUGAACUGA